AUUGAACGCUGGCGGCAUGCUUUACACAUGCAAGUCGGACGGCAGCACAGAGAAGCUUGCUUCUUGGGUGGCGAGUGGCGAACGGGUGAGUAACAUAUCGGAACGUACCGAGCAGUGGGGGAUAACUAAUCGAAAGAUUAGCUAAUACCGCAUAUUUUCUGAGGAAGAAAGCAGGGGACCAUUUGGCCUUGCGCUGUUUGAGCGGCCGAUAUCUGAUUAGCUAGUUGGUGGGGUAAAGGCCUACCAAGGCGACGAUCAGUAGCGGGUCUGAGAGGAUGAUCCGCCACACUGGGACUGAGACACGGCCCAGACUCCUACGGGAGGCAGCAGUGGGGAAUUUUGGACAAUGGGCGCAAGCCUGAUCCAGCCAUGCCGCGUGUCUGAAGAAGGCCUUCGGGUUGUAAAGGACUUUUGUCAGGGAAGAAAAGGAUAGGGUUAAUACCUCUGUCUGAUGACGGUACCUGAAGAAUAAGCACCGGCUAACUACG
rnacentral:rRNA from 1 species